AGAGUCCUGUGCUGUUCGCGGACCGUGACUUAUAUAGCCCUACAACCUUAAACAUGGGGCCUAAACUCGUAUAGUGGGCUUGCAGACCUCCCGCGGCUGUGCCGAGUUCGGAAGAAGGGAGCGCGAAGCUAUACGGUCGGCACCCACCUGACCUUUGUCAGGUUAUUUUAAGCACAUUACGGCAGUACGGGACCAAU
rnacentral:other from 1 species